rnacentral:tRNA from 1 species
GUCCUUGUAGCUCAGCAGGAUAGAGCGUUCGCCUCCUAAGCGAAAGGCCGCAGGUUCGACUCCUGCCAGGGACGCCA